GGCUCCACAGGACACAGAUUUUACAAACUCAGAUUGUAACUGUUUUACCUUCUUGGGACAUUUUCUUUGGCCAUUUGGGUGAUGGAACUCAGAACA